rnacentral:rRNA from 1 species
GGCUCCUUGAAACCUUAUAUAGGGGGUCGGACCUGCCCGGUGACUAGAAUGUUAAACGGCCGCGGUACCCUAACCGUGCAAAGGUAGCAUAAUCAUUUGCCUUUUAAUUGGAGGCUUGUAUGAAUGGUUUGACGAGAGCUAAGCUGUCUCUUUUGAAAUAUUUAAAAAUUAACUUUUAGGUGAAGAGGCCUAAAUGAAGUUGAGGGACAAGAAGACCCUGUUGAGCUUUAGUGUUGUAUUAAAUUGAUUAUGUUGAUUUAUUUUACUGAAUAAAUUAACUAAGUGUACUAUGGUAUAGUGGCGAUUUACUACAAUAUCUUUAGUUGGGGCGACUGAGGAACAUUUAAAGCUUCCUUUAAGAUGAUAAGUUUUUGAGAUUUAGUAUUAUUAUUGUUAGCGAGCUAAUGUUGGAUCCAGUAUUUAUUGAUUAAAGGAAAAAGUUACCACAGGGAUAACAGCGUAAUCUUUCUGGAGAGAUCUUAUCGAAAGGAGGGUUUGCGACCUCGAUGUUGGACUAAGAUAUCCUAAGGGUGUAGAAGCUCUUGAUGGUUGGUCUGUUCGACCAUUAAAAUCUU